CCUACGGGAGGCAGCAGUGAGGAAUAUUGGUCAAUGGACGCAAGUCUGAACCAGCCAUGCCGCGUGCAGGAAGACGGCUCUAUGAGUUGUAAACUGCUUUUGUACGAGGGUAAACGCAGAUACGCGUAUCUGUCUGAAAGUAUCGUACGAAUAAGGAUCGGCUAACUCCGUGCCAGCAGCCGCGGUAAUACGGAGGAUUCAAGCGUUAUCCGGAUUUAUUGGGUUUAAAGGGUGCGUAGGCGGUCGGAUAAGUUAGAGGUUAAAUCCCGAGGCUCAACUUCGGAAUUGCCUCUGAUACUGUUCGGCUAGAGAGUAGUUGCGGUAGGCGGAAUGUAUUGUGUAGCGGUGAAAUGCUUAGAGAUCAUACAGAACACCGAUUGCGAAGGCAGCUUACCAAGCUACUUCUGACGUUGAGGCACGAAAGCGUGGGGAGCAAACAGGAUUAGAUACCCUUGUAGUC
rnacentral:rRNA from 1 species